rnacentral:rRNA from 1 species
AUUGAACGCUGGCGGCAUGCCUAACACAUGCAAGUCGAACGAGUGGCGGACGGGUGAGUAAUGUCUGGGAAACUGCCUGAUGGAGGGGUAUAACUACUGGAAACGGUGGCUAAUACCGCUUACUAUCAGAUGUGCCCAGCUGGGCGUAGCUUGUUGGUGGGGUAACGGCUCACCACGGCGACGAUCCCUAGCUGGUCUGAGAGGAGGACCAGCCACACUGGGACUGAGACACGGACCAGACUCCGACGGAAGGCAGCAGUGGGGAAUAUUGCACAAUGGGCGAAAGCCUGAUGCAGCCAUGCCGAGUGUAUGAAGAAGGCCUUCGGGUGGUAAAGUACUUUCAGCGGGGAGGCGGUACCCGCAGAAGAAGCACCGGCUAACUCCGUGCCAGCAGCCGCGGUAAUAC